rnacentral:ncRNA from 1 species
GGAGUGGAGCCUGCGGCUUAAUUUGACUCAACACGGGAAACCUCACCCGGCCCGGACACGGACAGGAUUGACAGAUUGAUAGCUCUUUCUCGAUUCCGUGGGUGGUGGUGCAUGGCCGUUCUUAGUUGGUGGAGCGAUUUGUCUGGUUAAUUCCGAUAACGAACGAGACUCUGGCAUGCUAACUAGUUACGCGACCCCCGAGCGGUCGGCGUCCCCCAACUUCUUAGAGGGACAAGUGGCGUUCAGCCACCCGAGAUUGAGCAAUAACAGGUCUGUGAUGCCCUUAGAUGUCCGGGCUGCACGCGCGCUACACUGACUGGCUCAGCGUGUGCCUACCCUACGCCGGCAGGCGCGGUAACCCGUUGAACCCCAUUCGUGAGGGGAACGGGAUUGCAUUAUUCCCAUGACGAGGAUUCCAGAAGUGCGGGUCAUAGCUUGCGUN